rnacentral:rRNA from 1 species
CGUAGGGUGCAAACGUUAAUCGGAAUUACUGGGGCGUAAAGCGUGCGCAGGCGGUUUUGUAAGACAGAGGUGAAAUCCCCGGGCUCAACCUGGGAACUGCCUUUGUGACUGCAAGGCUGGAGUGCGGCAGAGGGGAUGGAAUUCCGCGUGUAGCAGUGAAAUGCGUAGAUAUGCGGAGGACACCGAUGGCGAAGGCAAUCCCCGGGCUGCACUGACGCUCAUGCACGAAAGCGUGGGAGCAAACAGGAUU